CUACUGUGCUUAAAAGCUGUGUUUCUUGAUUUAAUUAUUGUUCAAAUAGAAGAGGACAGGCUUAGCAAAACAUGAUUUGGAGAGCAUUUGUCUUUGACCCUGCGAUUCUAUGCAACAGGUGACACGUUCAAGUUCAUCAGGUUCAAGUCCAGGAUGGGAGACCAGCACCAUCUCACAAAUAGUUUUGGAUGUUCUGCUCUGUACCAGGUUAUAAAGGACGAUUUCUUGAAGACACCAUCAACGGAAGGAGAGUGGCAUACAAUAGCCAUGGACUUCAAAAGGAAGUGGCAGUUAUUGCUUUGGGGUACUUGCUACCACUCCAGCUGUAGCAGACUGCUGACCACAACAUGGAUGAUGGGCAGUGGAAGAUUCACGGGAUGUGUGCUUUUCAACCGAUGAAAUACACCUCACAUCGCAAUUGUAUGGCAAUAGCAAAAGUGCA